GACCUCAAGUCAAGUGAGAAUACCCGCUGAACUUAAGCAUAUCAAUAAGCGGAGGAAAAGAAACUAACAAGGAUUCCCCUAGUAACGGCGAGUGAAGCGGGAAGAGCACAAAUUUUAAAUCUACCUGGUUCUACCAGGUCGAGUUGUAAUUUGAAGAAACGUUUUUAAUGUUCCGGGUUGGUUUAAAUCCUUUGGGAUAAGGUAUCAUGGAGGGUGAGAAUCCCGUGUAUAUCAACCGCUGGGAUGUUAUUAAUACGUUCUCUAAGAGCCGAGUUGUUUGGGAAUGCAGCUCUAAAUAGGUGGUAAAUUUCACCUAAUGCUAAAUAUAAGCGAGAGACCGAUAGCGAACAAGUACCGUGAGGGAAAGAUGAAAAGAACUUUGAAAAGAGAGUUAAACAGUGCGUGAAAUUGUUGAAAGGGAAACGAUUGAAG
rnacentral:rRNA from 1 species